rnacentral:lncRNA from 1 species
CUGCUGCUGGGCCAGAUCCUCUACACCCCACACACCCCUCUGACGGAGAAGAUCAUCCACCAGGUGAACCGUACGUUCCAGGAGCUGGCCGUGUUCCGGGAUCUGGGCGGGAUGUGGACGAGAUGAAACCCAGAGUCUGGGACUUCAUGGAGAACAGCGAGCAGAUGAACCUCUUCAGGAGUCUGCUGAGGAACAACGUGACGGCUCGGUACUUCGGGGCGCAGCUCGCAGACACUGACUGGACGGUGGCGGACGUGACUCACUUCCUGUCCAGACGGGAGAGAGGCGGCAGUCAGCAGGGGGCGCUCUGACCUGGAGAGACGUGUUCAACGAGACGGACCAGGCCAUCGCCAGCAUCUCACGCUUCAUGGAGGUCAGGACGAGAAAGACACAAAUACACUUCAUUCAGGAAGGUCUACAGGGUUCUGUCCAGCAAAUUCAGCUGAAGCCGAGACUCAAACCCUCGAUGGAAGUUUGACCGAUGAGCGAUAAUGACCCCGUAUCCAUAUUUAUAUUUGCACCUGAUCCGCCCAUAGUCUACAAACUCCUCCAAACCGCUCA